rnacentral:lncRNA from 1 species
GACUUUGACCCUUUCUUUGAGAGUUUGUGAUUUGAGACCUUGGAAUUCAUCUGGUACCUUUGACUUUGGACUUCUUUUGGAAGACUUGGCUUGGUUACUAUGGUUUCAUCUGAUAUAUGAAUUAUUCUUUGCUUAUUUGGCUUGCUUGAGGCUUAAUCCAAAGGAGGGAAUUCUUGCUUGACUUAUGUCAUAAGGCUUUCUAUCUCUUGGUUAGAU